AAAAUCCGUCGACUUUUAAAAUCGU
rnacentral:tRNA from 1 species